UCCCUGCUCCAUGAGUAGGCUGGAAGUGGGCAAGAUCCUGGGAGGGGACACAACUAGGCUAGCUGACUCAACUGAAGGGAUAUUCCAUACCAUAUGGUGUCAGCUCAGGUGUAAAAGCUAAUAAAAGGAGGAGGAAGGGGGGGACUGUCAUUAUUUGCAGUGUUUGCUUUCCUGAGCAAUUGCUACAUGUCCUGCAGCCCUGCUUCCUGGGUAUUGGCCUGACAUUGCUUGCUGGUGAGAACUCUGCAGAUCUCGGGGGGGAUCUUUGAAGACAUUACCUGUCUACCAGUGCCAUCUUUUCUCGUUCUAUCCUCUAUUCUGUUCUAGAAUUGAAAUCAGCUGGGAUACAUUUCCAAAACACCUGGAUGGCUGAUAGCAUCUGAGCACAUGGGUCUUGAAAAAUGGAGAACUGAGAAAAAGACCUACUUAUCUCUAUCAUUCUUGUCAGCAAGUAACCAGAAGGAAGAGAUUUAUAAAGCAGAUGUCAGAAUGUCAGAUCUGCCUUCAGCUGAUUUUCUCCAUCUGACUGCUAGAAGCUUGAAAAACAACACAUGGUGGGGUAAAAUAUCUGCCAUGCUUUAACCAACCGUGUCUGCUUUUCUCUUCUGAACUGAUUUCUGUAUUCAUGCUUGUGUCCAGUCGGAUCUUGCAAACAUCGGUGUGAGUGGAGACAAUGGAUCACUUCUGGGGACAGAAUGGCUGGGAGAAGGGAGAUCCUUCUCUGACAGUAGGGAAGAGGAGUGUUUAGAGGAAGCUGGAAACCAAGCUUUUAUUCAGCUAAGCCUGUCUCUGCAUGAGCCACCAACUGCUCCUAAUGGACACCCCACUCAGCCUGAAGAUUUAACUUGGCAGAACUCAAGUUUCUCAGGGAAACAAACUUUACAAUUGAUCCUGACAUCCACCCCAGCACAUCAGUCCUUUUCUUAAAGAUCUGAUAGUUCUCCAGCUAACCUUCAGAAGACUUAUGCAAAGCCAGGAAAGUCCCUUUGGAGUCCUGUAAGGUUCAAGUCUGGCAGAAGGAUGUACCCUCCCCGUGGGCAACAGGUAAAAUUUUUCAAGGUAAAAACACUCUCAGAGACAACUACUCCUGCGGAAGAGAGAAAGGGUCUCGAAAGAUGAAGUGAAAAACUUGAGCACCCUGGACUGGAGCAAUGGCAUCAACUCUUCACAGUUCAGUCAUAAAGAAAGAACUGCAAAGGAAUUGUUUUUGUGACAAAAUUGCUUGUGGGCAUUUAGAGGACAAAGUGCUUUGUUUGGUGAUUUGUGCCAGACAUCCUGGGACCAUUCAGUGUAGUUUUGGAUCUCUUCCAGCAUUUUGAGAUGAACGGAUGAGGAAAUAAUUGAUCUUUCAAUUUUUCUUAAAUAUGGUUUAUGGAGGGGCUUGACAGUUGGCCUGCAAGCAAAGCUGAGUUAAUAGAAGAAAUAGCAAUUGAUGAUUUUUGAGUCUAUCCAUAGCAAGGAAGAAGACAAGGCCGUCAGCAUGGAAACAGAUUAGAAAAGGUACAUGAAAAAUUUUGCAAGCUAGACUAUGUGCAUAAGUAGAUGUGUAUAUGUGCCUUAUUAAAUUUCUGUAAAACUUUUUCCAAUUUUAUUGACGCUAAUUGCUUUGUACCAAUGAAUAUAAUAAGUUAUUGUGAUGUAGUUAAUGACUUAAGAUCAUGCUUUGUUAAGGGUAUAUAAACUGGAGAACACACAGAAUAAAAACUCUUUUCUUCUUGGACUCUGAUCAUGUGUGUGUAUGUCACAUCCAACCUAAAGGUGACAGUGGUUGGAUUUGCACUGCUCUGUAUUUGUUCCUUUAGAGUGUUGAAGAGCAGUAUCAUAGUGAUGUUGCUCAGCUCAUUUAUCAGUGUUUAUGCACGGAUUUGCAAAAUAUUUGUGAAGGUGUGUCCUGUGACUAUUUUAGUUUCACAGAUUUAAUGUUUCAGGAACAGAAAUGGAUAAUGGCAGACAUUCUAAAUAACAUCAAUUAAAUGGAAAACCUGGAUGUAUAUGUGUUUAUUGCCUUUUCCCAUGCAAUUUUUCACAGAGAUUUAUCCAACAGUUGCUUCUAUUUUGAUGUGGGAGCUAUAACUUCUAAAGGGGUUUUAGAUCCAUGAACACAUGGUUUCUUCAUGGAAAGAGUAGCCAGCUCUUUCCUUGAAGGUUAAUAAAGUGAUCUAAUUAUAUUUAUGUCUAUUAAGAGGUGAAGACUUUAGAAAACAAAGCCUAAUUAUGGAAAAACCCUAAUAUCAUCUCCUUCCUGAGUAGGUUUUGCUGUGGUGUCUCUGUUCUGGAGUGAAAUGAGUAUUUAACUAAAUUAAAUGAGCUUUGCACUGAAAUGAAAACAACAGGCCUCCUCUUCAUUUCAAGGUAAACACUAUUUCUGAAAUACUUGAUUUCCUUUUAAAUAUCUACUAACCAAAUGUUAAUUUCCCAAAUUUAAGACUAAUAUUUGUUACCAGCAAAAUUAUCAUCAAUCAGUACUAAAUUUCCAAGAAUACAGACAGGCGCAUAAUGCCUGAUGAAAUAUGGUGACGUAAAGGAAAAUCAUUUCACUUAAGAGGGGGAGAACCAGGAGCAGGAUUAUUUCUGUGACUCUCAAUUCUUAACUAUUUCUUUACUCCAUACACUUCAAGGAAAGAAGGGGCUGCAAUGACUUUUUCUGCUGUCUGUGCCAGUAGGCAGAGAGAUCCACAUGGGUACCCUGCCAAUUACAAUUAUUUUUAAUGUGUGUUCUCCAGCAAUGUAUUCAAACACAAUUUAUCAAUAGUAAAAAAUUAGGUCCCCACCAUUUCCCAUGACAGUUUAUUUCAAUAUUUACUCAUCCUAUCUAUAGCAACCGCUACUUUUUCUCACCUUGAUUUGGUAUGGUUUCUUUUUGAGUUUUUGGCUUCAGUUAUGUCUUUGACGUAGGCAUUUUACAGAGAGGCAUGGAACAUGAAGACCUGCCAAGCUGCUAAGAAUUUAGCAUGACCUUGACAAAAGUCCUUGUCAAAGUCCAUCAUAAUGGUUUUCUCCUACAUCAUGCCAACACAUCACUCAGUAAGCCAUCUCUGCUUAGGAAAUUUAGCUUCAAGGCUGAGUAUGUUUGAGUAGGAACAAAAAGUUCUUCUGCAUGUAAUAAACAAAAAAGCUAUUUCUGUUUUAUGAUUAGGUCAAAAUUGAUCUAGCUUUUCUUAAGAGUAAUAAACAUUCCUGAAACAAAGUCUGAAAAAGAGCAGAACAUGCAAUUGCAAAAAAUUCUUUUGAUUGUGAAAUUGUGUGUUUAUCCUGGAUAUGACUAACAUGUAUAUAGUUUGAUUCAAGCUUAGCUCAAACCAGAAUUAGAACAGAAAAUUGCUUACUUUUAGGAAGAAGUGUAAUCCAGGGCUUUACUGCUUACAUUAUUUGUGUAAUUAGAAUAAGGCUAUGGUUGAAGUCACUGAUUUAAUCUCCAACAAACUGUAACUUCUGGUAGACUACUGACAUUGAAAUCACAAAGAUUGUAGGGCACAUUUCAACUGAUCUGUAACUAAAGGAAUAGUGGAUUUGUCUCUUUAUAUGUUUUAGUCAUAACACUGCAACUGGAAAUGAAACCACAGUUUCUUAAUUAUUUUAUAUGUUUGUAAAUUUGAUUUUAUUAUUCGAAGAUAAUGUAUAGAUCUCAUCUAAUAUUUACAUAACAGCCGUUCAAUAUUUGGAUUAUCAGAGAAAACUGCUUGUUUAAUUUUCAGAUCUGGUCUAGUGAUAAGUUCCCUGUAUCACCAUACACACUUAAGCCUUUGUCUGCCCUCUGCCUGUUAAUAAAAUUUAAUUUAAGUGACAUAAUUCAGUGAUCACAAAUCGUUAUUUAAACUAAUAAUAAAAAACCCAUAAAUAUUUAAACUAAUAAAUAAAACCCCAAAACCAUAUUUUUUAUGUUUUUCACAUAUUUAUAUUUCAAUUAGUUUUUGUAUAAUGGCAUUCACAAUAAAACUCAUUUGAAUAAUGACUUUCAAGUAAAUUUAACCUUUACAGUUGGAGAUUCAUCUUGAGGUACAAAAGAUAAAAUCUCUUUCAGGUGAACAACUCCUACAGUGUUACAAUUAUUUGUAAUUGCUUAUUAAGUGUUUUCAAUAUGGAAAAAUGUAAACAAUAUAUUUACUGAUUACUUAGUAAUUAAUUUGCAUGUUAGAAGUUAUGGCAAGCAGCAUUUGAUUGUAAAUUAAGACCCACUUAGACAAAAAAACCAGAUUCCUUUCUAUUAAAUUAGAAACCUGUUUCACUUCCUUAAUAAAAGCAAUAAAAAUAUCAGGUGCCUAUAUUACUCUGUUGCAUGGAAGAA